GGCUCUGUGGUGCAAUGGAUAGCAUGUUGGACUUCUAGCUGUAACACUCAGCGAAGUGAUUCAAAGGUUGUGGGUUCAAGUCCCACCAGAGUCA
rnacentral:tRNA from 1 species